rnacentral:rRNA from 1 species
AUUGAACGCUGGCGGCAUGCUUUACACAUGCAAGUCGAACGGCAGCGCGGGCUUCGGCCUUGCCGCGUGUCGAGAACGGGUGUGUAAUGCAGGGGCACGUGCCCACGAGGGGGGGAACGCGCGGAGAGAUCCGGUUAUAUCCCACACACGAUCUGGGUGUGAGAACGGGGGCCCGAAACGUCUCGCGCUUGUGGCGCGCGCGAUGUCGGAUUAGCUAGUUGGUGGGGUAAAGGCUUACCAAGCCGACGAUCCGUAGCUGGUCUGAGAGGACGACCAGCCACACUGGGACUGAGACACGACCCAGACUCCUACGGGAGGCAGCAGUGGGGAAUUUUGGACAAUGGGCGCAAGCCUGAUCCAGCAAUGCCGCGUGCAGGAUGAAGGCCUUCGGGUUGUAAACUGCUUUUGUACGGAAAGAAAAGGCUCUGGCUAAUACCUCGGGGAGAUGACGGUACCGUAAGAAUAAGCACCGGCUAACUACGUG